CCUGAGUGAGCCAUGCAGAAGAUCUGCUCCCUCAUCCAUCUCUCCCUCUUCUGUGCAGGAGUAAUGCCAGCCGUUGUGUUGGUGUCUGAAGACCAAGCAAUGACUGUGCUCGUAGGAGGCUCUACCACCCUCAGGUGCUCCAUGGAAGGAGGAACGAUUGGUAACUACUAUGUAAACUGGUACAGGAAGACCCAGGGUAACACAUUGACUUUCAUAUACCGAGAAUCGAACAUCUAUGGCCCUGGUUUCCAGGGCCGUUUCCAGGGUGGUGAUGAUCUUCACAGAAACCAGGCUAUACUGAAGAUUCUUAAGGCAUCAGAGAGUGAUGAAGGAUUUUACUACUGUGCCUGUGACUUACCACCCUGCUGCAGGUAUAAUAGCUGUGUGGUACCUCUGAUCUUUGGCAAAGGAACCUAUCUGGAGGUAGAACCACGAAGUCAGCCUACUACCAAACCAUCUGUUUUUGUCAUGAAAAAUGGAACAAAUGUCGCUUGUCUGGUGAAGGACUUCUACCCCAAGAAUGUGAAUAUAAAUCUCCAAUCAUCCAAGAAGAUAAAAGAAUUUAGCCCUGCUGUUGUCAUCACUCCCAGUGGGAAGUACAGUGCUGUCAAGCUUGGUCAGUAUGAAGAUUCAAAUUCAGUGACAUGUUCAGUUCAGCACAACAAUGAAAUAGUGCGUUCCACAGACUUUGAAGUGAAGACAAAUUCUUCAGAUAAUAUAAACCCAGUGAAACCACAGAAGCUUGUAAUGAAGCAAACUACAGAGAGCUGCCAUAAACCCAAAGUUCAUACCGAGAAGGUGAACACGGUGUCCCUCACAGUGCUGGGGCUACGAAUGCUGUUUGCCAAGAGUGUUGCUGUCAAUUUCCUCUUCACUGCCAAGCUAUUUUUCUUUUAAGCGACGGGCGUGAGGAGGCCACAUUCCCUGAAAGAAACCAAAAGUGUCCAAAGACGCUUUCUCCUGGGCUUCUCACUUCUGAUUCCAGCUGACCUGUCACAGCCUUGUCUAAUUGGCUGAUGGACAAACCAGUUUUUCUUUGAAGGCAACAAACCCAGCUCAUCCACCAGCCUGGUAGAAAGACAAAAGUCCUGGAGAUGGGGGUUUAUGGUCCUAACCUAUGUAUAUGUUGUUUUAUAAAGGAUAGGGGGAUAUAAAGGGACGUAGACUCUUGUUUUACUACAACUGAUACACUUUGAAAAUGGUAUUUCAUUCCUUUUGACUUUCUUUACCUUCAGAAGUAGACAGUGGGAACCAACAGGCUCCCAGCUCCAUUCUCCAUCAGGAAAAUAGGCCCUGGGGGAAGGUGUCCUUUUACUUAAACAUGGAAGCCUCUGCUCAACCAAGCCAAGAUUUGCCCCAAACCAGCAUCCACCUCUUCCUCCCCACCUCUGUCCUACCCUCUGUAUUCACUUCAGCAGCCACCCCAGACAUUUUGCAUGACAAGGGGUGGGGGGGACAAAGUUUCAGCACUUUCUGCUUUUCCAAUACUUCACAAACAAGUUUACAUUUGACUUCCCUAAUACUCUUUGAGCAGGCAAUGGGGUUUCUAAAAUUUCAUCUCAGUACUCGCCAAUCUAUUAGCAAAGAUCAGAGUAAAAUACAGAGGAAAGGUACUUCUUUCUGUUAAUUAAUUUAAUAUAUGUGAAUUGACUCCCUCUAAGUUCCAGACACUGUAGUGAGAGAAAAAAAAAAAAAAAAACAUUGGCCCUGCUUUCAAGCAAGUGUUUUUGGAGGGAGGGAUAGUAAUGCAACCCCUAUCUUUCCCCUAUCAAAACAAUAUUUUUACUGUCUUUUGCCUGCCAAUCUGUGUACAGGGAGUUUGAGAUCACUGGGCACUGAUUCUUUUGCCUGAGCCUUUGGUGUUGGUGGU